rnacentral:piRNA from 1 species
UGGGCAGCCGACAUGACAGACAGAUGCUCCU